rnacentral:rRNA from 1 species
GGCGAACGCUGGCGGCGUGCUUAACACAUGCAAGUCGAACGGUGAAGCGCCUUCCUUUUUGGUGGGUGUGGAUGAGUGGCGAACGGGUGAGUAACACGUGAGUAACCUGCCCCCUUCUUCUGGAUAACCGCAUGAAAGUGUGGCUAAUACGGGAUAUUCUGGGUCUGUCGCAUGAUGGGUCUGGGAAAGAUAUUGUUUCGGUGGGGGAUGGGCUCGCGGCCUAUCAGCUUGUUGGUGGGGUGAUGGCCUACCAAGGCGGUGACGGGUAGCCGGCCUGAGAGGGUGGACGGUCACACUGGGACUGAGACACGGCCCAGACUCCUACGGGAGGCAGCAGUGGGGAAUAUUGCACAAUGGGCGCAAGCCUGAUGCAGCGACGCCGCGUGAGGGAUGGAGGCCUUCGGGUUGUGAACCUCUUUCGCCAGUGAAGCAGGCCUGCCUCGUUUGUGGGUGGGUUGACGGUAGCUGGAUAAGAAGCGUCGGCUAACUACGUG